GUGUUCAGAUAGCCAUGCACGUCUAGUACAAACUAAAUGAUGGUGAAACUGCAAAUGGCUCAUUACAACGGUUAUGAUGUACCCGGGAGUUCCGAUGGAUAUUUCCAGUAACACUAGAACUAAUACAUGUCCCUGCGUUUAUUAGUUUCGCACAGUCCGUCGCUGAGUCAUGGUAAACAGUUGAUCGACUCGACGUCCCGGAACAGUUUCCGCCCCAUCAGCUUCGAUGGUUGGGUAUUGGCCUACCAUUGCAACAACGGGUAACGAGGAAUUAGGGUUUGAUUUCGGAGAGGGAGCCUGAGAAACGGCUACCACAUCUACGGAUGGCAGCAGGCGCGCAAAUUACCCAAUGCAGACACUGUGAGGUAGUGACGAGAAAUAAUAAAGCGGGACUUCUGUUUCGCUAUUAUAAUGAGGAAUAACCAAAGGUCAUUCCGAUUAGCAACUGAUGGGAAAGUCUGGUGCCAGCAGCCGCGGUAAUACCAGCGUCAGUAGCAUAU
rnacentral:rRNA from 1 species